GAGCUCCGUUGGUGAGAGCUUGGUGCCGACAAUGCCAAGGUUGCAGGUUCGACCCCCGUCAGGGACA